rnacentral:piRNA from 1 species
UUAGUACCGUACCUGUGCAGCUGUUUUGUU